ACGGGGCGCAGCAGUAGGGAAUAUUGGGCAAUGGGCGGAAGCCUGACCCAGCCAUGCCGCGUGAAGGAAGACGGCCUUAUGGGUUGUAAACUUCUUUACUAUGCAACUAACUAGAUUUACGAGAUAAUUCUAUAGAAUGUAGCAUAGCAAAAAGCACCGGCUAACUCCGUGCCAGCAGCCGCGGUAAUACGGAGGGUGCGAGCGUUAUUCGGAAUUACUGGGUUUAAAGGGUGCGUAGGCGGCUAAGUAAGUUGUCAUUGAAAGGCUACAGCUCAACUGUAGUAGUGGUGGCGAUACUGCUUAGCUAAGAACAUGGGAGGGGUACUUGGAAUGUGUGGUGUAGCGGUGAAAUGCGUAGAUAUCACACAGAACACCAGAGGCGAAGGCGGAGUACUAGACCAUAGUUGACGCUGAGGCACAAAAGCGUGGGGAUCAAACAGGAUUAGAUACCCUGGUAGUCCACGCCCUAAACGAUGAUCACUAGAUAUUGGCGACAAACAGUCAGUGUCCAAGCGAAAGUGAUAAGUGAUCCACCUGGGGACUACGGCCGCAAGGUUAAAACUCAAAGGAAUUGGCGGGGGAGCACA
rnacentral:rRNA from 1 species